rnacentral:rRNA from 1 species
AACACUGAGCUGUCUUACGCCUACAGCUAGUCAUAUUUCCCCUUCCCCAUCUUUAUCAUAAAAACAUAAACUCACACUCAAAGUAUUCCUCAGCAUAGUAUGGCCGAUAGAAAAGCUUAAAUGAACUAUACAACAAGUACCGCAAGGAAAAGCUGAAAGACCCUCAAUGAAACAAGUAAUUAGCACUAAAAAGCAAAGUUAAGACCUUGUACCAAAAGCAUAAUGGAUUAGCUUGCCACAAUAAGCAAAAAAAACUUUAGUUUAUAUCCCCGAAACUAGUUGAGCUACUUCGUGCCAGUCACUGACGAACACACCCAUCUCUGUGGCAAAAGAGUGGGAAGAGCACCAAGUAGAGACAAAACAUCUAACAAAAUUAGUUAUAGCUGGUUCCUCAAGAAUAAAGUAUAAGCUUGGCCCUUUGUAACAAGAAAACCCCAAAAUAGGCCCCCCUGUAACAAAAAGGUCGUCAAAGGGGGUACAGCCCAUUUGACAUAAGAAACAACUUCUCAUAAAGGUUAUGGUUCACACUAAACAAAACAUUUUAUACGUAGGCCUAAAACCAGCCACCAACCAUGAAAACGUCAUAGUUCUAAAAAUCCUGCUACCAAUCUCGAUAUCACACACCAAAACCUAAACCCCCAUUGAGGCCCAUCACACUCUGAUGUAGAUAAUGCUAAUAUGAGUAAUAUGGAACCACCUCCUAGCACAACUAUAAGUCCUAAUAUUGAUCUUUAUUCGAUCCUAUAAUAGAAGGCACCAGCCUAAAAAUAAACUACAAGCUCCCCCCCCAACACAAACCGUUAACCCGACACAGGUGUGCUGCAAAGGAAAGACAAAAAGAAGAGGAAGGAACUCGGCAAACCAUAGCCUCGCCUGUUUACCAAAAACAUCGCUUCUUGCACAUAUAAGAAGUCCUGCCUGCCCAGUGAGCCAGUUCAACGGCUGCAGUAUCAUGACUGUACUAAGGUAGCAUAAUCAAAUGUCUUUUAAUUGAAGACCGGUAUCAAAGGCUUCACGAAGGCUCAACUGUCUCCCCCCUCCAGUCAAUGAAAUUGUCCUCUUCGUGAAAAGACGAAGAUUAAAAUAUAAGACGAAAAGACCCCGUGGAGCUUUAGGACGCCUCAGAAACUAAAACAAACCACCUGAGCUUCUUCCUUUGGUUGGGGCGACCAUGAGAAAUAAAACAACUCUCAUAAGGCAUGGUACACACACCUAAAUCAAGAGCCACACCUCUCGUUAAUACAAAAUGUAACCUCAAGACCCAAUAACAAUUGAUCAUUGAAUUAAGUUACCCCGGGGAUAACAGCGCAAUUUUCUUUAAAAGACCAUAUUGACAAGAAAGUUUACGACCUCGAUGUUGGAUCAAGACACCCCAGUGGUGCAGCAGCUACUAAUGGUUCGUUUGUUCAACGAUUAAUAGUCUUACGUGAUCUGAGUUCAGACCGGAGCAAUCCAGGUCAGUCUCUAUCUAUAACAUUGCUUUUUUCCAGUACGAAAGGACCAAAAAAAGAAGGCCCAUAAGAUCCUCACGCCUUACAAUUAGUGUUAGCUUCAAACUGCACACAACAAUAAAACUAAUAGUAAACCACUCGUUCAGACAACUUCUCCC